UCCUUAAAAAUCUCUCUCUCUCUCUCUCUCUCUCCGCUCUCAGUUAUCCAUUUUGGAUUCGCCGACAGCCGCCAUACCCGUGCAAUUGAAAGCUCCCUUUCUCUUAAUCUCUGCAAUUCUUGCAAUUUCUUCAAUUCACUUCUUCCUCUUAUCACAGCUCCACCACCCAAUCUUCUACAUUCAAUAUCCCACAUAUGAACCACUCUCCUUCCAUCAAAAUGACCAAGGACAAUUACAUGGCCUGGCAGUUUCAACUCCUUGCAUAUCUUCGAGGACAAGAUGUGUAUGGAUUCAUUGAUGGCACGGUUCUUUCUCUUGUUCAACUGAUAGUGAAUCUUGUCACUACCCCUGGAGCUCCCGUGAUGAUUGCCAACCCGGAAUAUCUCUCUUUGUAUCAACGAGAUCAGCUCAUCAUCAGCGUGCUGGUCUCCACCCUGUCUGACUCCUAUGUCUCCCAUGUCGUGGGCUGCACCACAUCUCAUGCACUAUAGGAAUCGCUGGAGAAAAUGUUUGCUUUCCAAGCUCAUGCCCGGAUUAUGCAAGUUCACUUGCAACUUGCUACCUUAAAGAAAGGUAAUUCCUCCAUAAUUGAUUCUUAUUGUACCUAGUUCUUUCUAAUUAGUCUAUAGACAUCAAGUUAUUGUUAAUAAAAGUUUUGUGCACAUUUGUUAUAUUA